rnacentral:rRNA from 1 species
GACGAACCGUGCGAACGUUGUUCGGAUUCACUGGGCUUAAAGGGCGCGUAGGCGGGUGAUCAAGUCCGGGGUGAAAUCCUUCAGCUCAACUGGAGAAUAGCCUUGGAUACUGGUCGCCUCGAGGGAGGUAGGGGCGGGCGGAACUUCCGGUGGAGCGGUGAAAUGCGUAGAUAUCGGAAGGAACGCCGGUGGCGAAAGCGGCCCGCUGGACCUCUUCUGACGCUGAGGCGCGAAAGCGUGGGGAGCGAACAGG